GAUGAACGCUGGCGGCGUGCCUAAUACAUGCAAGUCGAGCGAACAGAUAAGGAGCUUGCUCCUUUGACGUUAGCGGCGGACGGGUGAGUAACACGUGGGUAACCUACCUAUAAGACUGGGAUAACUUCGGGAAACCGGAGCUAAUACCGGAUAACAUUUGGAACCGCAUGGUUCUAAAGUGAAAGAUGGUUUUGCUAUCACUUAUAGAUUGACCCGCGCCGUAUUAGCUAGUUGGUAAGGUAACGGCUUACCAAGGCAACGAUACGUAGCCGACCUGAGAGGGUGAUCGGCCACACUGGAACUGAGACACGGUCCAGAGUCCUACGGGAGGCAGCAGUAGGGCAUCUUCCGCAAUGGGCGAAAGACUGACGGAGCAACGCCGCGUGAGUGAUGAAGGGUUUCGGCUCGUAAAACUCUGUUAUUAGGGAAGAACAAAUGUGUAAGUAACUGUGCACGUAUUGACGGUACCUAAUCAGAAAGCCACGGCUAACUACGUG
rnacentral:rRNA from 1 species